rnacentral:pre_miRNA from 1 species
CAUAAUAACCUUAUUUUUUUUCCGUUUUCAACGUUUGACUAUUCGUUUUAUUUGAAAUUUUUUUUUACGAUUAAUAUUUUUAUUAUUACUAGAUAAUAAAAUAUGAAUAGUAUUUUAUAUGUGACUAAUUUUUUUAAGUUUUUUAUAAAUUUUUUAAAUAAGGCGAAUGGUUAAACGUUGAACACGAAAAA